UCCUUUCCCCUGUCUCCUUCCCUUCCUUCACCCACACCCAGUUCUUCCAGCAAGCAGCCGCCAUGGCUCCCCCUUCCCUCUCCUCGAUCCUCCCAACUCCUCGUCAACGGAUCCUUCCCCGAGCCCUCCUUCCUCAGGCCUCCUCGCAUCUGCUCUCCUCCGAGCACAUCCCCGCCCUGCACCUUGCCCGCCCCUGCCGUCGAAGCGCCCGCUCCAAGGCCGGUCCCUGACGUCGCGUCGGCGAGGAGCAUUUUUCUCGGUCCUGCGUCGCAUAGAGGAUGGGAUUUGGGAUUCACGCAGCUGCACAAUUCCGACAAUCAAAAUCGGCGCUAGGUGAGCGCGCUUUGAAGGCGACGUUUCGGCUUUGCCCUCGUACUGUCGUACACCGUGCUUGAAGGGCCACAUGCCUCAUCGACUCGCUGGUUUAGCAUGUGAUGGACACCGCCACACCGGUGAAGAUGGCAAUGGGACCCGAAAUUCGUAUUCCCGCGGGCUUUUAUUCCAUUAGGAAACGGGUUUGGAUCAUUCUCGAUCACCGCAAGUUUAUCCAUGGGUCAAAAGCUCAUAUCUAUAUCUAUCUAAAAACAAUAAAUACGGACAGUUCUUUUCGGCACGAGUUUUCGUAUUCCGUCGAACAAUCCUUCGUCUCCCCCGCGUCCCGUACCCCUUCGUGAAAAAAAAAAUCCCCUCUGUCCCUCCCUUCCCCUUCUGUCUCUCUCCCCUGUCCCUCUCACCUCGCCAGCGCCAUUAGCCCGGCCACCUCCUCGAGCCGAGCUCCGCCAGUGUCCGGCCGCGUGCCACCUUGCCUGCCCGAUCUCUGCCGGCGCCUCCCCUUUCUCCUCUGUCACUCUCUCGGUCUCUCCCCUAUCCAUCUCAGCUCGCCAGCGCCAGCAGCCCGGCCCGCCAACUCGUCCAGACGAGCUCCACCGUCGUCCGGCCGCGCGCUGCCUCGCCUGCUCGAUAUCCGCUGGUGCCUUCCCUUUCUCGCCUGUCGUUGUUCCUGCUCCGACGUCUUCAGCGGCGCCGCUGCACAUACUCCGAUGGCCAUGCGCCGCUGCUCGAGUUCGAGAGUCCCCGUGGGAGAGACUGGUUGAGUCCUGAGUUUUCAGGCAGGCCGACCUGGCCGACCUGCUCUCGCUGCCCUCCAACCAGGUCGUGGUGGAGCUCGGCGAGGCGGAUCUUUUUACAACGGAGCAGCAAGAACAGGCAGCAAUCGCCAAAUCACGUUCCUCGAUUCCGCAAAGGUCAAGGAGGAUGCGAGCGCCCUUCUUCUUGCUCCUCCUCCUGUUGCUGGCCAUUGGUUUAGACGCCGUGCCCUAAGACAGGAGGCUUCUCAGGGAUUAUGUUUCAUUAUUCGAGGAGAUGUUGGUCGGAUGCGGAGGCGUUCGCGGCUUCGCGCUCCCGAUGGACGUGGUCGGCCUCUUCGAUUGCGGUGCGACGCCGCUCGCCUCGCACGGCAGUCUCCUCGUGCGUCUCGUCGACGGCGAAAGCGAUGCGGAACCAGUUGAUAUGCUUGUCUCCGUUUCCGCGUGCUGUGUAGCACCUGCAAGGAAGAGCUCGCCGAAUGCCAGCGCUGCAAAGCUGCCGUCAUCUGCAGCAGCUGCAGGCCAACCGCGGCUUUCCAACGAAGGUGAAUCAAAGAACAAGACGACGCUGGUGGUGAGGCCGAGCAUGGAUACCCAUCUCCCGGCCGGCCGGCGCUGCAAGCAUUCCUUUUCUUUUCGAGCUCUUGUUCUUCCGUCAUCUCUGCUGGUCCAAGCCUUGAGAAAGAUGAUGUUGGAUGAAGUUGACCUGCACCUGUCCGAUGUAAUGCCUGCCAGAGCAAGUUUUCACACGUAAUUUGAUUUACUCACAAACUUUAUUUUCCAUCUUGAUUCCUCUUAAAAUUAAAGAAUAAAAUGGAUUUAUUUUC